GGGCGUUAGGCUCCCCUCGCCUCCGCGGGGCGCGUUGGGAGAGGCGCCCCGGGCCUCCCGCGCUCCUUGGCUCGGCCCGCGCCGCAUGGAGGCGGGAAGAAAAGCCGAGCGGCGGCCUCCGGCAGGCUGCAGACGCCGCGGCCUUGGGCUCCCGCCUCCAUGACUGGGAAAACCGAGGCAACCCGCCCUGUGGCGGGGCACGGCGUUCCUCUCCUUCCGGGAGUCUCGCCGCUGGCCGCCUAAGUUAUGAUAGAAACUUAAAAGAGUCUCGGUAGCCGCCUUUUCUUUUUGAGACGGGAUUUGUUGCGAAGAGUUCAUGGUGCAGGACUUCCAGACGCGGUCGCCGGGUCCGGUUUAUUAUAGCGUUUUUAGUUUUGCCUGAGACAGGGCUUACCAAACUGGCCUUAAAUAAAUUUAUAUAUACAUACACACACACAUACAUACAUACAUACAUACAUACAUAGUCCAGGUUGGCUUCGAACACGGCUUAUGUUAGGAUUUUUUGUUUGUUUUUUUGUUUUUCUUAUAUGAGUACACUGUAGCUGUCUUCAGACACUCCAGAAGAGGGAGUCAGAUCUCAUUACAGAUGGUUGUGAGCCACCAUGUGGUUGCUGGGAAUUGAACUCAGACCUCUGGAAGAGCAGUCAGUGCUCUUAACUGUUGAGCCAUUUCUCCAGACCUUCAACAUCUUUUUCAAGGAAGGAAGCUAAGACGCCUUUUCCUCACUCACCAGCUGAGAAGUCUCUGUACUUGAUAUUUAUUGAUAUUUACUGUUCACUCGUGACAGUCUGCUGGUCACUGAGCACACUUUACUGCAGACAGGCACUGCCUUUAGAGAGCUUAAAGCUGGGAGAAACAGGCAGGCUAGUAAACAUAGCUGUUAAGUAAUUCAGAGAUAACGAGCCAGGCAAGACAAAUGUAUUAAAAUAGGACCUGAUCCAGGCGUAGUGGCACAAGCCUUUAACCCCAGCUCAGGCGGCAGAGGCUCUAAAGACCAAACCAACCUCCUACCCCUCACCCAGGAAGGAAAGAAAACCACAGGACUUGGUACAGUAAGGAAUGGCAGUAAGAGGUAUUGCUGGGCCAGGAAUGGUGGUGGACACAGCCUAGCUUCUGGGUUUUUGCAUCCUAAUGUGAGAUCUGAAGUAAAUACAGUUUCUUUAGGUCUCAUCACCACAAAAACAAAUCUCUUCUCUUGAUAUUUCACGUAGAAAGUCGCUUUCUUUGUAGGAUUUAUUAAAAGCACCUUGCCUUGGGCUAGGGAUGUAGCCUGCUCUGUAGAGGACCUGGGUGUGUUGGCAGGUUCUGCUUAAUUGAGGCAAGCGGGGAUGUCUGGAGAGUCAAGUUCAAGAAAGGUCACCCUCUGCUAUGUAUCAGGUUUUGAGGCCAAUCUGGGCUAUAGAAGACCCUGUCCUAGGAGGGCAGUGCCUUGCCUUGUGUGUGACAGCCAUCCAUAGCCUGCGGACUUCUCCGUUUCCAGCAUCUUGUUGGUGAUGCAUUUGGACUGCAUUUCAUUGCCUUCCUGAUUCUGCCCAACUGUGCAUCAUAUUAUGAUAGCUGCUACUUGGAACUUAAUUGUUUUUAUAGAAAAUGUACUCAGAUAGUGUAUUUUGUUUAAAAAGGUGUCAUUUUGAAAAGCAGACUUUAGGGCUGGCAAGAUGCUCAGUGGGUAAGAGUACUGACUGCUCUUCCAAAGGUCCUGAGUUCAGGUUCUGGUGGCCAUAUGGUGGCUCACAACCAUUCUUGAUGACAUCUGAUGCCCUCAUCUGGUGUGUCUGAAGACAGCUACAGUGUACUUAAUUUGUAAUAAUAAUUAAAAUCUUUAAAAAAAAGAAAAGCAGACUUCAGUCAAGCAUGGUAGGACAUACCUAUGGCCUUUUUCUUAGCACUCAGGAGGCAGAGGCAGCCUGGGCUUUAAAAUCCUGUCU
rnacentral:lncRNA from 1 species